GAUGAACGCUGGCGGCGUGCCUAAUACAUGCAAGUCGAGCGAACUGAUUAGAAGCUUGCUUCUAUGACGUUAGCGGCGGACGGGUGAGUAACACGUGGGCAACCUGCCUGUAAGACUGGGAUAACUUCGGGAAACCGAAGCUAAUACCGGAUAGGAUCUUCUCCUUCAUGGGAGAUGAUUGAAAGAUGGUUUCGGCUAUCACUUACAGAUGGGCCCGCGGUGCAUUAGCUAGUUGGUGAGGUAACGGCUCACCAAGGCAACGAUGCAUAGCCGACCUGGGAGGGUGAUCGGCCACACUGGGACUGAGACACGGCCCAGGCUCCUACGGGAGGCAGCAGUAGGGAAUCUUCCGCAAUGGACGAAAGUCUGACGGAGCAACGCCGCGUGAGUGAUGAAGGCUUUCGGGUCGUAAAACUCUGUUGUUAGGGAAGAACAAGUACAAGAGUAACUGCUUGUACCUUGACGGUACCUAACCAGAAAGCCACGGCUAACUACGUGCCAGCCGCCGCCGUAA
rnacentral:rRNA from 1 species